AGUGAACGCUGGCGGUAGGCCUAACACAUGCAAGUCGAACGGCAGCACAGUAAGAGCUUGCUCUUACGGGUGGCGAGUGGCGGACGGGUGAGGAAUACAUCGGAAUCUACUUUUUCGUGGGGGAUAACGUAGGGAAACUUACGCUAAUACCGCAUACGACCUACGGGUGAAAGCAGGGGAUCUUCGGACCUUGCGCGGUUGAAUGAGCCGAUGUCGGAUUAGCUAGUUGGCGGGGUAAAGGCCCACCAAGGCGACGAUCCGUAGCUGGUCUGAGAGGAUGAUCAGCCACACUGGAACUGAGACACGGUCCAGACUCCUACGGGAGGCAGCAGCGGGGAAUAUUGGACAAUGGGCGCAAGCCUGAUCCAGCCAUACCGCGUGGGUGAAGAAGGCCUUCGGGUUGUAAAGCCCUUUUGUUGGGAAAGAAAAGCAGCAGGUUAAUACCCCGCUGUUCUGACGGUACCCAAAGAAUAAGCACCGGCUAACUUCGUG
rnacentral:rRNA from 1 species